GCGGCUGCACCACUGGGAUACCCUGAUCCAACAUCGAGGUCGUAAACCCACCUGUCGAUAGGGGCUCUUGGGGUGGAUUGCGCUGUUAUCCCUAGGGUAACUUGGUUCGUUGGUCAAAAUAUUGGGUCAAUUUGUGUCAGUUUAUUGGUGCUUAAAGUUGUGGCUUUUAGCUCAAGAGUUGGUCUGUUCAUCGUGGAGGUUAAUUUUUGCUCCGUGGUCACCCCAACCUAAAACUAAUAGUCAAAAGGCUAGAAUAAAAUUAAAAACUCUGAAGUGGAAAAAGAUAAAAGCCAGUGCUGUAUAGUUUGAAGCUCCAUAGGGUCUUCUCGUCUAAUAUGUGUAUCCCCGCUUCUUCACGGGGAGAUCAGUUUCAUUGAUUAGAGAAAGGAGAGUGUAACCCUCGUGGUGCCAUUCAUACGAGUCCUCAUUUAAAGAACAAGUGAUUACGCUACCUUCGCACGGUUAGGAUACCGCGGCCGUUGAACUAAGUCACUGGGCAGGCUGGACCUCUUAUAUAUGCAAGAGGCGAUGUUUUUGGUAAACAGGCGAGGUUAGUGUUUGCCGAGUUCCUUCUUUUUCUUUUAAUCUUUCUUGGAAUGUACUGGUGUUAGAUUAACGUUAGGGGUAACAGGGUUUUCUAGUAAAGUUACUGUUUUAAGAUCAUUGGCGUUUAAUUAUCAGUGGUAUGUCCUUUCUGAUUUACACGUACAUUUAAGAGAAGGGCUAUCUUCUUAUUACUAGUUUCAACAUAAGGGCUUCUAUAGUGUUAUAGAAUAACUUAGUACGAAUAAAGGG
rnacentral:rRNA from 1 species